UUCCACCCCUGUUGGUCCCCAGGACCAGGGUUGAGAACCACUGAUGUAGACAGACCAGGCAGCUCAGAAUUCAAUGUUCCCAGGAGUUGAUGAGUUGAGAGGACAAAUAUUUUUCUGUGCCACAGAUGGCACAAGCAAAGGAUUCCAGUUUUGAAGAGCCACAGACCGUCCAGGGGCACAGGCAGGGCUGCAGAAAGAAUUGGACAGGAAGACCUUGAAAGGGCUGCUCGACUGCAAGAAGAGAGGCUGGCCGAGAUGGUAGUACCAUCUACCUGGAGUAAUUUUUGACAUCAUGGAGUACCGGAGAGCUAUCCCACGGUCUCCAGACAACCUCGCUGGUGCACCUGCGUGAAUUACAGGGAGACUCCUGCACCUUACAACACACAACUGCUGCCAUUUCACCACUGCAAUAUUCAAUUGAUUUAUUACCAAGUAUGUUUACAUAACAGGUUAACACUAUACUGUACUUUAUUCUUUAUUUGGAUCCCAAUUAGGAACAAUACUCCGUAAUUUUUUUUGUGUGAAUUUUGCCUUCGUCUGGUUGAUAUCAGUUCAGUACUUUAUCAGAAUGUUUCCCUUACACUGUAUUUUUUUUAUUUUGAGGAAGGUUACAGAGACAACCUUGUGUUCUUGUUUAUCUCCCUAAUAAAACUUUUUGACCUGA